rnacentral:rRNA from 1 species
UACGAAGGGGGCUAGCGUUGUUCGGAAUUACUGGGCGUAAAGCGCGCGUAGGCGGUGAUCUUUGUCAGAGGUGAAAUCCCGAGGCUCAACUUCGGAAUUGCCUUUGAAACGGGAUCGCUUGAGUCCGAGAGAGGAUGGCGGAAUUCCUAGUGUAGAGGUGAAAUUCGUAGAUAUUAGGAAGAACACCGGUGGCGAAGGCGGCCAAUCUGGCUCGGUACUGACGCUCAGGCGCGAAAGCGUGGGGAGCAAACAGGG